UCGCGCUAGGUGGGGAGCUAGCGGUUCCCUGAACCCGCAAUCCGCUCUAGUGGGGCCGAACUCCCUCUCGAGGGGGUGCCGCCCGAGACACGGGCUUGCGACGUAAGCGUUGACGGCCAGGUUCCGCGCACUGGGAGCCUGCGAACCGCGUCAGAUCCGGGAGGAAGCAGCGCUAAGCAAUCCCUCCCAGGUGCCGCGGAUCGGCCUGGCCCGAGCAAGCGUCGCUCGCACCGGCUCGAAGCGGCCCAACGACGGAGGGUGCGUGA
rnacentral:SRP_RNA from 1 species